GCUGUUUUUCCCUUCCUCUCACAAAAACAUAAGUUGGAUGAAGCUGAAAAAAGUAGCUUAUUGUAGCUUCUCUCUCAUUUCUCUCUCUCAACUAUGCAUGAAGUAGUUGGUGAAACUAUUUUGCCAAACACUUUUUUCAAAACAGCUUAGCUUCAUCUAGAAAGUCACUCAUGAAGCUAUUUUCUAAAAAAACAGCUUUACUAGUGAAGUUGAGCUGUGCCAAACAACCCCUAA
rnacentral:lncRNA from 1 species